UGGGGAAUUUUGGACAAUGGGCGAAAGCCUGAUCCAGCAAUGCCGCGUGCAGGAAGAAGGCCUUCGGGUUGUAAACUGCUUUUGUACGGAACGAAAAGGCUCUUUCUAAUAAAGAGGGCCCAUGACGGUACCGUAAGAAUAAGCACCGGCUAACUACGUGCCAGCAGCCGCGGUAAUACGUAGGGUGCGAGCGUUAAUCGGAAUUACUGGGCGUAAAGCGUGCGCAGGCGGUUCUAUAAGACAGAUGUGAAAUCCCCGGGCUCAACCUGGGAAUGGCAUUUGUGACUGUAGAGCUAGAGUACGGUAGAGGGGGAUGGAAUUCCGCGUGUAGCAGUGAAAUGCGUAGAUAUGCGGAGGAACACCGAUGGCGAAGGCAAUCCCCUGGGAUAACGACUGACGCUCAUGCACGAAAGCGUGGGGAGCAAACAGGAUUAGAUACCCCUGUAGUCCCUGAGCGGGCUGGCAAGGCG
rnacentral:rRNA from 1 species